CACGCACCGAGAGCCUUAUGGAGAGAUUAGCGGUUGAGGCUUAUAAAGUUGCAAUGGUGAAGACAAAGGCUCGGGUCGCACAAGGUGAUCCUGGGAAAGCACUCUGCAGAGAAGCAUGAGAAUCAGGCCUGCGGCUGUGGUCCUGGGAACCAGAGGCAGAAGCUUAAUUCAAAGUGUACUGCAGGGAAGUGUAAGCGAGUAUUGCUUUCAUCACUGUAAAGUAGCCCCCAUCGUGACAGUUCCUGGAAAAGGUGCUGGAAACGAGUCAGUCAUCUAAUGACUACGCCAUACAUAGACUAUAUCUAACAUCAUAGAUCUGUGGGACGAAAAUGUUUUGAUUUGUUUACACUAUCUGAAUGAAAGAUCGGCCUUAAAUCUGGAAGGAGUUUUCAGUGCAUCAAAUUAAAAGUGAAA